rnacentral:lncRNA from 1 species
AUUAAUUGGCCCUUGCAUUCAACAGCUACCACUCAAAACUGGAGUGAUCUAGAAAGCAAACCAAAUAACAUCAAUUACAGUGUCCAAAAGCAUUAGCCAAAUUCAUUUACAAAACCAUGUCUGCAUUACAUAGAAAAAAAUAUGAUGCCACCUAAAGUACCUAGCAUCCUAAGCAUGAUAACUUAUAAGAAAAAACCACUGAAGUUAUCCAUCCACAAUUUUUAAAAAUCCCAAUAAUAAUAACUGUGCAAAUAACAAAAUUAAUUACAGAAAAAUGAAGUGCUCAAUUAUGGAAACAUUAGGAGAAAUUAAAAUUGAAAGGAUUAGAAACAUAAAUUACAUGCCUCCAACUAAAUCUGAACAACAGCCCUUCAACAAAAUCCGUGACUCAAUACAAAAAGAUUUCCCCCUUUCUUACUCCUGUUUCGUCUUUUUGUUGAUGAAUUUCCUUCGCAAAGCGCUAAUUCUUGUCGUGGUAUGCUUCUUCCUUGGGUCCGAUUCAUCAUUUGGGACUAAUUCUUCUUCGUCGUUUGAACGAAUUUGCUUCUUCAUAGGGUCCGAUUCAUGAUGUUCAUCAUAAUGGGGCUGAUGAAUUUGAACCAACACGGAAUGAAUUUAGUUUUUACAUUUGAAUGUAUGAUUACAGAUUUAGGGGAAUAUUAGGGGAUUGUAUUUAGGGCUCAGUUGUUAUUUUAGACGUUUGAGUUUGUCAAGGGUAUUUUGUCAAGGGCAAUAUAGAGCAUUAAAUAGGAUGGACAAGUGUUGAAUUUGUAGAAAGACAGAUGUCAAUUUUGUCAAAAAUACCCAAUAAACCAUUCAUGAUUAAGUUUAAUUGACUAAGUUAUGAAUUGAAAAUAUAAUCCUUCCAUAAAAUUAUAUACAGGGACAUUGAUAGAUCCUAUUUUAUUUUAGAUAAAUGUCCCAUUAGUAUGUUAUUAUGUACUUAAUAGUUCAUUUUCCUCCUAAAAAAUAAAACUCUAACAGUGCCCAUAUUUGGCAACAAAUAAAUGAUUUAAGGUUUUCACUUUUUUUGAACUAAUAUGACAAGUGAAAGCUAAUAAAGAAAAACAUCACAGAUGCAUGUUAGGUCUUCCCACUUGAAUUAUAAAAUUGGUCUUCAUCACACUUCAAUAAGGACAACAAACAGGGAAGAAAAAGUAUCAAAGGCAUAUUAUGGUUGUCUAACCAUACCUUUUUCGAUUGGCCAAAGAGAUUUGUACAAUUACAUAAGUAAUAGUAGAUCAAAAAGACACCAAAUUCUGAUAUGCAGAAAUGGGAUGAAAGAAAGAGAGAGAGAGACAGAGAGAGUAGUGAACAUCCUUAAUCACAAUUAACAUAUAUAUGAUAAUAAAAAUAAUAAUAAUAAGAUGAUACCACAAUGUUAAUCCCAUUAAAAUGCAACAACAAUCAAAAGUAAUAAAGAUUUGAGAUACUGAUAGCAGGCAGACUACUCCCCAUCGAUGUUAUUUUUUUUUGGGCGUGGGGAGGGGGGGGAGAUGAAAAAUGUGGUGGAAAGGUCUCAUUCUCAAAGCAAAGAAUAAUCUGUUUUUUAUUUGUUUUCCAUUAAGCUAUGUCUGACACAAGAUUUGCAUUUGUGAAACAGUUGCUACAUGUCCAAAAAAACAAAACAUAGACUAAGGCACAAGAAAAUCAAAGGAGGGUGUGAUAUCUUCUGCUAGAAACUGAACAACUCUUUACCUGUAACCAUAUACUUAGGAGCUGCAUACCCAUAGGUAUACCUAUUUUUACUCCAUCAUUAAAUGGAAAUGAAAUGGCACCUAAUACACCUAAUUUUGAAAUGUUACUCCAAAUCACAAGAACACACAAGCACUUCAAGAACUGAAAUUUCUAUAUAUCAAGAAUAAACAAAUUAAAAUAACAAAUUUAUACCAACAUAAUGAAUUAAGAAGACUCAGUUCAUAGUUAGUGUAAUCAAAUAAAACAGUAAGUCAUUGGCAAGACUAAAUAGUUCCCAGAUUCCAAAUUGAAAAAUUAGAGCAACCAACAAUUUUUACCUUUUUGGACUAUUGUCUUAACAAUGAAAAGUAGCUAACAAAAACUAUUUUAGAAGUCAAUGCACAUUUACUCUCAGUUACUGUUUCCAGGGUACAAUACAAGCGAUUUCAACAAAAAAUACUUCCCACAAAACCUUUUCCUUGAGACAAACAUCAGAGUAGUCAAAUUUGAAGAAAGAAAACUAUGAUUUCUAAAAGGGCAUGAAAGUAUAUGAUAACAGAAGUCUAAAGACUACAUUUUUCACACAAAUUGAAAAAAAAAUAUACAUUAUAUCCAAAACAUCAUCUACAUACUAUUAAAAUAUAAAUCCAGCAAAUCAAUCAAAAAAGACAGAUGGGUUUAUUUUUCUUACUUAGAAGAAGCUGCAGUUAAUGUUUCAUUGUCCUUGACAGUGACAGAUAAUGCAACUGCUCCAUUUCUACAUUUCCUUUUCAAGAAACCUGGAAAUGCUGUCGUUUUAGCUAAUUUUGAGCCCCUGAACAACACCCCCAGUUCUAUAACAAUCACAAAUAAAUUACCAAACAGUCAAAAUAGAAAAAGGGGCGAAACAGAGCAAGUAAGCAAAUUUACCCGAAUGGACAGGUGGAUGAAUCCGCCUGCGGCCCACCGGAACAGAGAUCGAUCCAAAAAAUGAAGCAAAAGCUUUGUCACCGCCGAAGAAAAAAUCAGAGGGGGAAAGCCCUUUUGAACAGUAAUACUCAUUGCAGGGCUCCAAUGAGCUCAUCAGACCCUGAAUGCUGGAAUAUCCACACCACGACGAGAUUAGAGAACUGGAUAAUCGAGCCCCACCAACACCACAGGCGGGUAGUGGUGUUUACAACCUCAGUUGUUUUUUUAGGUUUUUUACAACCUCAUUUGUUUUUUAGACGAAGGAGUUUGUAAAUUAUUUUGUCAUGUAUUGUAAUUUAGUAUAUAUAUAAUAGAUUUUAGAAAAAUUGAAGGAUAAUGGAGAUCGGAGGGAUCCUCCUAAUCCGAUGAGUGAUAUUUAGCAAGAUUUUUAGAUCCCGAUCCGUUAUCUAACCGAAAAAGGUUUUGGGUAGAUGGAUA